UGGGGAAUAUUGGACAAUGGGCGCAAGCCUGAUCCAGCCAUGCCGCGUGUGUGAAGAAGGCCUUUUGGUUGUAAAGCACUUUAAGCGAGGAGGAGGCUACUUGGAUUAAUACUCUAAGAUAGUGGACGUUACUCGCAGAAUAAGCACCGGCUAACUCUGUGCCAGCAGCCGCGGUAAUACAGAGGGUGCGAGCGUUAAUCGGAUUUACUGGGCGUAAAGCGUGCGUAGGCGGCUUCUUAAGUCGGAUGUGAAAUCCCUGAGCUUAACUUAGGAAUUGCAUUCGAUACUGGGAAGCUAGAGUAUGGGAGAGGAUGGUAGAAUUCCAGGUGUAGCGGUGAAAUGCGUAGAGAUCUGGAGGAAUACCGAUGGUGAAGGCAGCCAUCUGGCCUAAUACUGACGCUGAGGUACGAAAGCAUGGGGAGCAAACAGG
rnacentral:rRNA from 2 species